GCGUUCAGUGAUGACCUAUCAUACCGCCCCAGUCUGAGUUGCUGUGACUGAAUGGUUUCAAUGUUCUGACCACUG